rnacentral:misc_RNA from 1 species
CGCACAUUGCGCCCGCCAGUAUUCUGGCGGGCAUGCCUGUUCGAGCGUCAUUUCAACCCCUCAGGCCCUGGUGCCUGGCGUCGGGGCGUUCCCUCACGGGAAGCCCCCAGAGACAGUGGCGGACCCGCCGCGGCUCCGAGCGCAGUAGUAACAUUCUCGCUUUGGAGGCCCGCGGCGGAGGCCGGCCGUAAAAUCUUCUUAGGCGCAAGCCGAAAGAAACUCUCAAGGUUGACCUCGGAUCAGGUAGGAAUACCCGCUGAACUUAA